rnacentral:rRNA from 1 species
GGGAGGUAGUGACAAUAAAUAACAAUACGGGGUUCUUUCGGAUUUCGUAAUUGGAAUGAGUACAAUUUAAAUCUCUUAACGAGGAACAAUUGGAGGGCAAGUCUGGUGCCAGCAGCCGCGGUAAUUCCAGCUCCAAUAGCGUAUAUUAAAGUUGUUGCAGUUAAAAAGCUCGUAGUUGAAUUUCGGGGUCAGUAGGUUGGUCAUGCCACUGGUAUGUACUGGUCUCACUGAUUCCUCCUUCCUGAUGAGCCGUAAUGCCAUUAAUUUGGUGUUGCGAGGAAUCUGGACU